AAUCAACGCUGGCGGCGUGCCUAACACAUGCAAGUCGAACGCGAAAAGGGGCAACCCUGAGUAGAGUGGCGUCCGGGUGAGUAACACGUGGAUAAUCUGCCUGCGGGCGGGGAAUAACUUUCCGAAAGGGGAGCUAAUACCGCAUAACACCGUAAUGGGGCAUCCUGAGACGGUCAAAGAGGGGGGAUCGCAAGACCUCUCGCCUGCAGAGGAGUCCGCGGCCGAUUAGCUAGNGGCGAGGUAACGGCUCACCAAGGCGGCGAUCGGUAGCCGGCCUGAGGAGGGCGAACGGCCACACUGGCACUGAAAUACGGGCCAGACUCCGUACGGGAGGCAGCAGUGGGGUAAUUUUGGGCAAUGGCCGAAAGGCUGACCCAGCAACGCCGCGUGAAGGAUGAAA
rnacentral:rRNA from 1 species